rnacentral:tRNA from 1 species
CAAGGAGUAGUUUAAAAUAGAAUAUU